UCAACUAAACUAAGUACAAGCCAUCUGUGGGCACAAGGGCGACGUUAAGCGGAUUUUUCGUAGGCUAGAUAACCUGUUAGUUAGUUGUAUUGUAACCACCGCAUCCUAACCUAAACUAGAAAUUACAUAAGUUGGGUUGGUUACAUUGUCGGUUUUAAUCUUUUAAUUAUUGAGAAACCUUUUAAAUAUUAGGACUUAGACUUAUAGUCAUGGGUGAUACUACAGGACUGUCUAAUGUUGAGGUGAAAGAGCUUUGCUUAGAGCCUGAAGUUGAUACCAAGGACUUUAUCAUGCAGCAGACUAUGUAUCGUAUCAAAGACCCGAGGAAGUCACUCCCAUUUUACACUAAGGUGUUGGGAAUGAGAUUGCUUCAGAAGUUAGACUUCCCUGAAAUGAAGUUUUCGUUGUACUUCAUGGGCUACGAGAAUGCAAACGAAAUCCCAUCUGACAACAAGGAGCGAACAGAGUGGACAUUCUCACGUAAAGCCACCAUUGAGUUGACACAUAACUGGGGAACAGAGAGUGACCCCGAUUCAAAAUACCACAACGGCAAUGAUGAACCAAAAGGAUUUGGCCAUAUUGGUUUGAUGGUGCCUAAUGUGGAUGCAGCUUGCGCCAGAUUCGAGAAGCUCGGCGUCACAUUCAAGAAGAGGCCUAAUGAUGGUAAGAUGAAGGGAAUUGCUUUUAUACAAGAUCCUGACGGCUACUGGAUUGAGAUUUUCAAUGCAAAAGGAGUCACUGAAAUAGUGAACAAUUAAGUAAGUCAAUGCCUUAUAUUUACACCAAACUGAAAAAUUCAUCAUAAAAUUUUAUGUGCACAUGCUCAAAGAAGAGACUGAAAGCAGGUGAAUGUACACUACUGAUUCAUUGUAAAAGAUAUCUGUAUCAAAUUGCACGACAAAUUUUAGUUAGUAAAAAUUGUUUUAUUUAGCAUUAAAUAUAACUACUACUAUAGCAAGAAAAAUUUAAUGAAAUUAUAAAUUUAAAUUAUAUUAUACAUAAUUUAAUUUAAAUUAUGUAUAAUAUAUUUUAAUGUAUAAGACACUUAAAAAGUGUCUUAUACAUUAAUUUGAGAAAAAGUUUGUUAUUUUGCUUCUUUUCACUUCCAGCAGUUGAGAAUUAGUUUCAGUAUUUUAAUUUAUAAAAAUAGGUUUACAUUAACAUUAGAUUUGUUAAUGCUAUACACUAAAUCACAUUUGAUGUUGUAUAAUUAGUCUUGAGUAUAUUACAUAACAAUUUUAUGUAUAUUUACAAUCGUGAGCAUUAUUUGCUACUUCAGUGCCAUGUUAAUGUUCACAGUAUUUGAAUGUUUAUUAUAUUAUUGUUUAAAGGUACUGUAUUUUGUAUUACAGUGUAAUCCUUGCUACUAUUUUCAAUAACAUCUUGCCCAGACUUGAAUAGUACUAACAGUGUUUUUGACAUAAACAUUUUAAGAUGUAAUAAAAUAUUGUGAUACUAGCUACGUUAGUCUUUUGAAAUGCUGUACUUAUCAAUAGGUAUGUAAUAUCUAGAUUUAAACUGGAAUUGUAUAAUUGAAUCCCACAAAUUUAGAAAAAAACUAUUUUAAAAUAGUAAAAGUUGUAUAAGAUUAAAUAUAAUUCUAUUACGUAGUUACCCCGGAAUAAAUUUUUAUAUUGAAACAUCGAAAUGCUAUUGACUAAAAAUGUA